CACACCUGCACUAUUUUACAAGCAAGCUUUCCUCUGGCUUGGGCUACCACGCUGUGAGGAAGAGCCAAGAUUUAACCCUGCGUGUGGACGCCUUCAUACAAAGAAUGUUUCCCCCUUGAAAUCUGUGAGCUGCUAGGUGCAGGCAGGCUGCACCCCUGUCGCAGGAGGACAGUCGUCCUGGAGGGACUGGAGCAAGUUGCCUGCUGUUGGGUUUGCACACCGCUCUUCAGGCAUCUCUCCACGUAGGAUCUGGGAUCGCAGCCAGAGAGGAGGAUCUCGCUGAGGAGAGCGAUGUAGGCGAUGGCCAGCCGGAGCGUGUCAAUUUUGGACAGGCGCCUCUCAUAUGGGAAGAGCUUUUUAUGACUUGAAGGAUGGCCUCUAGACUGUCACUGCCAAGGAGUUCCUCAUCCACAUCACUGCACUGUAGUCUCUGUCUGCUGAUUUGAGUGAAUGACUGUCUUUGGGAUACAACAUGUACAUCAGCCUAUGCUUGACUGUACAAUUUGGAUCUCAAGGGAAUGGGAAUACUCAUGGGAAUUUCUGAAGAAAAGUGAUGCUCUUCAUGCAUGGCCCUGACCUUCCUCAUCCAUCUGAAAUACACCCUUAGCAAGAUGGAGAAAUGGAGGUGCACCAUGGACACCAGCUCAGGAGGCCAGCCACGAAGCCACGUAGAGGAAGGAUUAAAUCUCAUCAGGCUCUGUCUGGUAGGCUACACUACUGGCCCCGUUGCAACAGCUGAGCUCUUGGUGGAUGCCCACAAAGGACUGUUGUGUUGUGUGUGGUGUGCCUUCUCUGUUUGCAAGAGUGAGCCCUUUUUUGAAAUACACUUGAUGUUCUGAGUGCAGGUCAAACAGGAGACACUUCUGAUUAAUGCAACAUUGAGAUAUUGCACAAAACCCCCUCCCCAUAUGCCUCGGUGGGGAAAGGUAUAAAGGACAAACAUUCAGUGCAGUUCAACGUUCUGGAGAGGAGGGGAAAUGGGCAGGAAAGAUCAUACCUAAAUAGAAAGCCAAAGCUGAUCCUUGCUAUUGCCAAGGCAUCAGCCAAAAAGAAAACACGACUCUGAUCGCAGUAAAAUCAUGUAUGAGUCAUGAUGGGCCAAGAACAAGUUUGCUUUCUUUUUCCCCUCAUUGAACAGAUGAUGAUUAAAAGAUAAAUCAUGCUUGGAGUCAAAUCAAGUGAUUGGAUUAAAGUUUAGCUAAGUAUUUAGAGACUGCUUGAGACACAAUGGAAAAUUAAUUGAAAACUUACAUUUCUGAGACCCUUGAACUCUGCAGCUCUUAAUAAAAUACUACUGCAAAGUACACAAGGGUUCCCUGUGGGAGAGAUUCCUCUCCACAAGUGCUUUUACUCAGGUAUGUGGAAAAAUGGUAUUAAUUUUCUCUACAAGUUCACCAAUGAAAAGUAUUUCCAUGAUUGCAAUACAGCUAUUGCUCAUGAUGCAGCAACUUAAUCUAUUCAGCUCACUGAAAAUCAGUGAUGCCAGGCAAAGGAAAGUCACUUACUUAAAAACUGAUUUUUUAAACACUUCAUUCUUUUAACUACUCUUUGCUCCUCUGAGCAGCUGAUAUUCCAGAGUGACUAACUGCCUGUAUUGGGCUGAAGUGACUCUGGAGUCUUAAAAACUAUGUAUAAAUUCCUUCUAGAUGUGCUGUAGUAGGAAAUGUCAUGCUUUGUUUGCACUAAUAAUGUAAUUGCAUCCUGGAAUCACCCCCAGUUCUUGAGGAACAUACCCAGGCUCUAACUUCAAAGCACUGUCCUUUCUGGUAGAAAUACCAUUUAAACCCACAAAUAAAAGAGAAUAAACUUCCCCAUAUUCACACACAUGAA